rnacentral:rRNA from 1 species
GACGAACGCUGGCGGCGUGCCUAACACAUGCAAGUCGAACGGAGAUACUUUUGAGGAGACUUCGGUCAACGAGACUGUAUCUUAGUGGCGGACGGGUGAGUAACGCGUGAGCAAUCUGCCUUUCAGAGGGGGAUAACAUUCUGAAAAGAAUGCUAAUACCGCAUAACGUAUUCGGAUGGCAUCUUCUGAAUACCAAAGGAGCAAUCCGCUGAAAGAUGAGCUCGCGUCUGAUUAGAUAGUUGGUGGGGUAACGGCCUACCAAGUCGACGAUCAGUAGCCGGACUGAGAGGUUGAACGGCCACAUUGGGACUGAGACACGGCCCAGACUCCUACGGAGGCAGCAGUGGGGAAUAUUGCACAAUGGGCGCAAGCCUGAUGCAGCAACGCCGCGUGAGGGAAGACGGGUCUUCGGAUUGUAAACCUCUGUCCUUGGUGAAGAAUAAAUGACGGUAGCCUUGGAGGAAGCCAACGGCUAACUACGUGCCAG